CAAUCGAAGAUUUUCAGGAAUUGGAAACUGAUAAAGAUCGUUUGCAGAAAUUGGCAUCAUAUCUAAAGUUUAUUGGGGGAAUCAAAUUAAGAGAAGCUCUCAGUCAUUUUCAAAAGGAAACCAUGACAGAUGAAUUGACCUCUAUGUUUACUUAUUGGGGUAGGAAGAAACAUUCAUUGGCCUUUUAUAAUACACAAACUGCAAAAGUGUUUUUUAUGCAGCUAAAAUGUGCCCAAAUUUUGAAGGGCCCUUAACAAGGACCGCAUUUAAAUUAGAAAUGAUGGAAGUUUUUCGUGCUGCAAAACAACGGCACUAUCUGAAAAGUAAAGUUAAAACUUCAGCAGCUAUUUUAGAAACGGAAACAUCUUAUACAGAUAUAUUUCCUGAAGCAGUAUUUGAUGAAAAUGUUCCUGAUGAAGACACUGCUGACACUUCAGAAAUGGAAGAUGAUGUGUCCGAAAGUAAUUAAUCU